rnacentral:rRNA from 1 species
UACGUAGGGAGCAAGCGUUGUCCGGAAUCAUUGGGCGUAAAGCGCGCGUAGGUGGCCCUGUAAGUCCGCUCUGAAAGUCGAAGGCUCAACCUUCGAAAGCGGGUGGAUACUGCAGGGCUAGAGUCCGGAAGAGGCGAGUGGAAUUCCUGGUGUAGCGGUGAAAUGCGCAGAUAUCAGGAGGAACACCAAUUGCGAAGGCAGCUCGCUGGGACGUUACUGACGCUGAGACGCGAAAGCGUGGGGAGCAAACAGG